GCAGCUAUAAUCUUGGGGGAAUGAAUACCUACUAGGAGCAACCUUCAUCCAAUGACUAACAGGAGCUGGGGUAUCAAUUCCCCAGCUCCCCAGCACUCAGGGGAACACCAAGACCUAUUCUCCUCAUGGGAGCAAGAAGAUGAAGUGGAGAGGAAGGUUUGAGUCCUUUCUCUCUAUGUAUCUGUCAGGCUGUGCUGCGGUAACAAACAGCCCCCAAUUCUUGGUGGCUGAAAACAACGAAACUUAUUUCUCACUCAUGAAAGAUGUCUAGUGCUGGUCAGCAGGGGACUUUUCUCUACAGAGUCACUCAGGGACCCAGGCUGGUGUAGGCUCUGCCAUUUUGCAAUGUUGCCAUCUCAGGACAGCAGAAGAGAAGAGAGCACUGGAAAGUGUGGCUCCUGUAAUAAGAUGAUUUCCCCUGGAAAUUACACCAGUCAUGUUUGUUCAGAAUCCACUGACCAGAAUGAGUCACAUGACACCCCC
rnacentral:lncRNA from 1 species